GAUGAACGCUAGCGGCAGGCCUAACACAUGCAAGUCGAGGGGUAACAGGGGAGCUUGCUCUCGCUGACGACCGGCGCACGGGUGCGUAACGCGUAUACACUCUACCUUUUGCUGAGGGAUAGCCCAGAGAAAUUUGGAUUAAUACCUCAUGGUAUUAUUAGAUGGCAUCGCUUAAUAAUUAAAGGUUACGGCAAAAGAUGAGUAUGCGUCCUAUUAGCUAGAUGGAGUGGUAACGGCACCCCAUGGCGACGAUAGGUAGGGGCCCUGAGAGGGGGAUCCCCCACACUGGUACUGAGACACGGACCAGACUCCUACGGGAGGCAGCAGUGAGGAAUAUUGGACAAUGGAGGGAACUCUGAUCCAGCCAUGCCGCGUGCAGGAAGACUGCCCUAUGGGUUGUAAACUGCUUUUAUACGGGAAGAAUAAGGAUCACGUGUGAUCUGAUGACGGUACCGUAAGAAUAAGCAUCGGCUAACUCCGUGCCAGCAGCCGCGGUAAUACGGAGGAUGCAAGCGUUAUCCGGAAUCAUUGGGUUUAAAGGGUCCGUAGGCGGGUAAAUAAGUCAGAGGUGAAAGUUUGCAGCUCAACUGUAAAAUUGCCUUUGAUACUGUUUAUCUUGAGUUAUUGUGAAGUGGUUAGAAUAUGUAGUGUAGCGGUGAAAUGCAUAGAUAUUACAUAGAAUACCGAUUGCGAAGGCAGAUCACUAACGAUAUACUGACGCUGAUGGACGAAAGCGUGGGGAGCGAACAGGAUUAGAUACCCUGGUAGUCCACGCCGUAAACGAUGGAUACUGGCUGUUC
rnacentral:rRNA from 1 species